CAGCGACAGGAGCACAGAGGAGAAGCCAUGGUUUCUGCCUUCCUCGACGGAGGGCAGUCAGGGGAGGCCAGUCACGCCUGAAUGAGGCAGGAAACAGGUCUCGUCAGCAGAGCAGGUGCACAGGGAGGAGAGUGUAGAUGGGAGGUGGCCUUCCUGAGGCACUCAAGGGGAAAGGUGUGGCUGGUAAAGACAGCAGCCUGUGGGCAGCUCGGGGCAGGAGGAGCCCGAGGGCAUUUAGGGUACCACAGCGACCCUGCUCUGUGUGGCCGGCGUGUAAGGUAGGAGAGGGGAGUGUUGGACCUGAUGAUCCCCACCAAGGGAAUCGGACUUGCGUGGGGGAGAAUUCUUAUGAAUUUCAAACCCCAAGAAUGACAUGGUCAGCUUUGUGUCCCCACCGUUGCCUGCAGGCUGCCGUGAGUGUGAGAGAGGAUCUGUUCAGCCAGGGAGAGAGGGGAGCAGGUUGGCCUGGCCUGGCCGAGAUAUGCUCCAUGGUCAGGAGAGGAAAUAGAAAAUGUAAUUAACGUGUCUGCCACCAGACAUGAGAGCUAAAUCUAUUACUCUCUUCCUCCCAUUUUUAUUAUGAAUUACUGUGUUUCAAUUAUGAUUUUGAAAGUAUUUCCUUGAGGAAAUAUGUCAGGGUUCCGCAAUGGGAAAGAAGGAAAUGGAGCCAUGAAAGUUUAAUUUAUGGCAGUGACUGCAUUUUAAAAGAAAGAAAGAGAAUAGAAAGGCAGGAAAAUUGAGAGUCGUGCUGACUGGGUCACCUGCUCUGAGCAAAGGAAGCCCAAGGUGUCUGAGUGUUUACAGAGUCACUUUAUGGCCUGUGAUGAAGGAAGAAGCACAGGCAGCACUAUCGGUCAGGCCAAGUUCACAUUUCACCCUCCAGGCUCCCAUCGGCCUGCUCCGUUGCUCCCGGAAGACACCUCAAGGAAAGGAAGAUGCCUGGUCUGAUGGAGAAUGAUGGUCUGGCUCUAGCGCCAUGCUGGACACUGGGGUGGAGGUGCAUGAAUGAGUAAGACCUCUGCCCUCAAAAAGCUUGAAGUCUAGUGUUGAAGGGGCAGGAGGCUCAUAGAAUGCGAAAGGAAGUGUGGAUAAAAGACCUUCUACUUCAGGCUGGAAGAGCAAGACUACACUAACCUCACCAUCAGGCUGAUGCUAAGCUUUGAAGACAAGGAGCUCUGCAAGGCAAGGGCCUGGGCACAGGGAACCCCCUGCCUGAUGGAAGACAGACAUCUGAACAGGCUACUGUGGAAGGUGGCUGUGACAGGGGCACAUUCUCAUGUCAGUCUAUAGAGGGAGGAACACCUACCUCUGUCAGGGGACUCAGAUGUACUUCCCUCUGACCACUGGACCUUGCCCAAAAAUGUCAUAUCUCUGAGUCCACAUGUGUCCCUGCACAAGGCCAAUGGAAACAGAAAGAGGACCUGCUGGUCAACCCCCACCGUGCAGGGCACACAGAGAUUCAGAGAAGGGACAGAGCCAGCCGUCCCUGAUAAUUCUUCAAGGUCGCUGGAGCUGCACGUCUCAUUAAUAGUUGGCAUAGUUGGGACAUCUCACCUCACACAGUAAGUAUGAUAUCGAAGACAUAAUAAUUAUCAUUCUGCCCAUUUUAAAGGUGAGAAAAUUACACGCCAACAUGGAUAUCACCUAGAAUGCAUCUGGCUGGAAAAGACAGAACACUCAACUCCUGCUGAUAUAAACAACAGUGGGAGCUGGAAAGGCAGAGGUAGGCAGGGCUGCUAGAGAACACUGACCCAGUGGCUCUACGGAGUCACCGAGGACCCCGCUUUUACCUAUCUGUUCACAUUGUCACUUAUCCCAUCAGCUUCACCUUCACCGUGGCCUCCUUCAUGCUUUCAGGAAGGUCACUGGCGCCUGCCCAGACCAUGUGCUAAAGUCUACCUCCUGUGUCUCCACAAGGACCUCAAGAGUUACUCUGACGGACCCCGUUAGGUCAACGCCUGGCCCUGAGCUAAUCACUGCUCCAUUCCCAAGUCUACCUUACAUUCUUUAUUAUCAGCAUUUGUUUUGCAAGUAUUUACUGAGGGCCUUUUCUGCCAGCAGCUCUUCUAUGUGGUGAGAAUACACUGUUGAACGAAGCCUACCAAGCACUGUCUAUACCAUGCACUGUAUAUAAUAAUAAGACAAAUAGAUUAGGUAGAUAGGCAGGUGGAUAAUUAUAUGUACAGAAACAUAAGAAUGGCUACGGUUUAUGGAGAAAUAAAUGCUCGGACCCAGACAUUACACCAGAUGAUUUUAAC